AUCCAAUACCAAACAAGAUAUUAAAAAUAAGACAAAUAUAAGGAUAUAAUUAUUUUAGUAAAUUUGAUUGUAAAUCAGGAUUUUACCAUUUAAAGUUAGAAGAAGAAUCUAAGGAAUUAACCGCGUUUACGGUACAAAUCAAGAUUCAUCAUGGUGGAGAGGCAACAAAAAGGGACAAUUCAAGGUUAGCUGUGCUUAUAGCUGGAUGAAUCAAACUUCCCAAUGUGUAAGGGACUAGGAACUGGCCAUGGGAAGGCAUUUGGAAAAAAUAAAAUCACACUCAAAGUAACAUGUUUUGUUUGGUUGCUAGCCACGGAAGCAGUUCUCGCUCAAGAUAAUUUGAUGAAGAGAGGGAUAACACUAUGUCCAAGAUUUUUUUAUUUUUUUUUUUGUGUGGGGAAAACGCAGACACAGAAAUCUUAGGGGUAUAUCAUGGACUAUGCCAGGGGUCCUAGGUGGGGGUUUCCGGGAACCCAGCAACUUUCGUUCUUGUAUUUAUAUAGAGAAAUCUAGUUAAUGUAUAAGAAUUAUAAGUUGGGAACCCAUAAAUAAAGUGUAUUGUUGGUUUAGUGGAGUAGAUGGACUUGUAAAAGUUUUAUUGGCCUCUUGGUUGUGGGUUCAAAGCCCCUUAGUUACUAUUUGGUUUUAUUUUUAUCUAACAUGGGGAACCACAAACUUUAAAUUCUGAAUCUAGCUGGAAAGAUCAUGGAAACGCAAAGAACAGAGAUAGAUGGAGAAUUGUUUUGAGAGCAUAGAGAGUAGUAUGCAUAAGGAAGCUUAACUGCCGUUUGUUACCAUGGUUUUGGUGUAAUCAAGUAUACUCAAAUGAUACUAUCUCUAUAUUGAUGUUCUAGAUUCAAUUUAGGUGGGAGAUAGUAGGAUAUUGAAGUAAAUGACGUAAAUAUGUUUUUUCAGUGCAAACCAUGUACUGUCUUUUGAGAAAUAUACAAAGUUACUAGUUUCUAAAAAAAAAUGUUACGGUGAAAAGUAAUCGAAGACUAUCUUCCUCUUACUAAGAAUUCUACGUACUCCACUUCAAUCUUGAUGCGAAUAAAAAUAUGAUUCUCGUUUAAAGCAUAAGUUAGUUCUUUUUGGGUUUCUUGCACCUUGUCGUUUGUUCAUUUUUUCUUUUAAAAUUAGAACUUGAUUCGGUGUUCCCCAACUUUCAAUUUUUUCUUCAGUCUCCUUGAUUUCCUUAUUAAUUGCUCCCAGUUUCUUCUUAGUUUUGAGAUCACCUCAUUUCAUGCAUCUCAUCACUUUAUCCAUGACAUCUCUCAAGCCUCCAGGCACCUCCGGCUCUAUCUAGGAAUAUUAAAGAAGCAGUUCCUAUUGGAAAAGAGGGCAUCAAAUUUGAAGAAGGAAGCCAUUUGUGGUGUCAAACAUCAUUGGUCAGAUGCUCGCUGCUGAACGACGACCCACGUGAUAUUCUGCACCUGAUCAUAUAAUUUUUGUUCAAAGAACUCGCCAUCAUAUGAGAAUCAUCAUUGCGUUUUUCAUUUGGUAAAUUCUUUUAUGUUGGGCAAUCGGGUCAAGGGGGAAGGAGUAUGACGAGAACCAAAUCGAAACUUAUCGUGUAAAACUUUCCACUGAUAACACUAGACGAUUAGUGCCUAGUAUUAGCAUUACCAAUUAUUCUGGACUUUUGAGUACCUCAGGGUUACAGGGGGCUCUCUCAAUUUUUCAUUUUUAGUUUUGAUGAGAAAUUUUGAUUUUUUCUCAGAUUUAUGGUAGUGUAACAUCGUUGAUAAAGAAGCAGAUUAGAUUUUGCCCUUUUUUGGAAUAUUUCAGCACUUACCUUUAUAUGCAAAUAAAUUUGUAAGCAUUGUCAUACCAUUCUUUUGAGGUAGUGGUACGGGUUGUGCACACUCUAUCCCCAAGACCUCACUUUGUGGGGAAUGCAUUGGAUAUGUUUUGUUGUUGUCAA